rnacentral:rRNA from 1 species
AGAUUUCCGAAUGGGGAAACCCACUGUUCGUAAUGGGACAGUAUCUUUAUCUGAAUACAUAGGAUAAUGAAGGCAGACCCGGGGAACUGAAACAUCUAAGUACCCGGAGGAAGAGAAAGCAAACGCGAUUUCCCAAGUAGCGGCGAGCGAAACGGAAUUAGCCCAAACCAAGAGGCUUGCCUCUUGGGGUUGUAGGACACUCUAUACGGAGUUACAAAGGAACGGGGUAGAUGAAGCGACCUGGAAAGGUCCGUCAAAGAAGGUAAAAACCCUGUAGUCGAAACUUCGUUCCCUCCAGAGUGGAUCCUGAGUACGGCGGGACACGAGAAAUCCCGUCGGAAGCAGGGAGGACCAUCUCCCAAGGCUAAAUACUCCCUAGUGACCGAUAGUGAACCAGUACCGUGAGGGAAAGGUGAAAAGCACCCCGGAAGGGGAGUGAAAAGAUCCUGAAACCGUGUGCUUACAAGUAGUCAGAGCCCGUUAAUGGGUGAUGGCGUGCCUUUUGUAGAAUGAACCGGCGAGUUACGAUCCCGUGCAAGGUUAAGUUGAUAAGACGGAGCCGCAGCGAAAGCGAGUCUGAAUAGGGCGUUUGAGUACGUGGUCGUAGACCCGAAACCAGGUGAUCUACCCAUGUCCAGGGUGAAGUUCAGGUAACACUGAAUGGAGGCCCGAACCCACGCACGUUGAAAAGUGCGGGGAUGAGGUGUGGGUAGCGGAGAAAUUCCAAUCGAACCUGGAGAUAGCUGGUUCUCUCCGAAAUAGCUUUAGGGCUAGCCUCAAGUAUGAGAGUCUUGGAGGUAGAGCACUGAUUGGACUAGGGGCCCUCAUCGGGUUACCGAAUUCAGUCAAACUCCGAAUGCCAAAGACUUGCUCCUUGGGAGUCAGACUGCGAGUGAUAAGAUCCGUAGUCAAGAGGGAAACAGCCCAGACCACCAGCUAAGGUCCCAAAGUAUACGUUAAGUGGAAAAGGAUGUGGAGUUGCUUAGACAACCAGGAUGUUGGCUUAGAAGCAGCCACCAUUUAAAGAGUGCGUAAUAGCUCACUGGUCGAGUGACUCUGCGCCGAAAAUGUACCGGGGCUAAACGUAUCACCGAAGCUGUGGACUGUUCUUACGAACAGUGGUAGGAGAGCGUUCUAAGGGCGUUGAAGCUAGACCGUAAGGACUGGUGGAGCGCUUAGAAGUGAGAAUGCCGGUAUGAGUAGCGAAAGAGGGGUGAGAAUCCCCUCCACCGAAUGCCUAAGGUUUCCUGAGGAAGGCUCGUCCGCUCAGGGUUAGUCGGGACCUAAGCCGAGGCCGAAAGGCGUAGGCGAUGGACAACAGGUUGAUAUUCCUGUACCACCUCCUCACCAUUUGAGCAAUGGGGGGACGCAGGAGGAUAGGGCAAGCGCGCUGUUGGAUAUGCGCGUCCAAGCAGUUAGGCUGAGAAGCAGGCAAAUCCGCUUCUCAUAUAAGGCUGAGCUGUGAUGGCGAGGGAAAUUUAGUACCGAAGUUCCUGAUUCCACACUGCCAAGAAAAGCCUCUAGCGAGGUGAGAGGUGCCCGUACCGCAAACCGACACAGGUAGGCGAGGAGAGAAUCCUAAGGUGAGCGAGAGAACUCUCGUUAAGGAACUCGGCAAAAUGACCCCGUAACUUCGGGAGAAGGGGUGCUUUUUAGGGUUCAUAGCCCUGAAAAGCCGCAGUGAAUAGGCCCAGGCGACUGUUUAGCAAAAACACAGGUCUCUGCGAAGCCGCAAGGCGAAGUAUAGGGGCUGACGCCUGCCCGGUGCUGGAAGGUUAAGAGGAGAGGUUAGCGCAAGCGAAGCUUUGAAUUGAAGCCCCAGUAAACGGCGGCCGUAACUAUAACGGUCCUAAGGUAGCGAAAUUCCUUGUCGGGUAAGUUCCGACCCGCACGAAAGGCGUAACGAUCUGGGCACUGUCUCAACGAGAGACUCGGUGAAAUUAUAGUACCUGUGAAGAUGCAGGUUACCCGCGACAGGACGGAAAGACCCCGUGGAGCUUUACUGUAGCCUGAUAUUGAAUUUUGGUACAGCUUGUACAGGAUAGGUAGGAGCCUUGGAAGCCGGAGCGC